UACGUAGGGUGCGAGCGUUAAUCGGAAUUACUGGGCGUAAAGUGUGCGCAGGCGGCCGAGCAAGUCGAGUGUGAAAGCCCCGAGCUUAACUUGGGAACUGCGCUCGAAACUACUUGGCUAGAGUGUGGCAGAGGGAGGUGGAAUUCCAGGUGUAGCGGUGAAAUGCGUAGAUAUCUGGAGGAACACCGGUGGCGAAGGCGGCAUCCUGGACCGGCAUUGACGCUGAGGCGCGAAAGCUAGGGGAGCAAACGGG
rnacentral:rRNA from 1 species